rnacentral:lncRNA from 1 species
CAGGAGGAAUUUUGGUGCUAUGGAGGGUGCUGGUGGAACAAAAGGUAGUGACACUUUGGAAGGACGAGUUCUAAAGAAAGAUCCUGGUGGCAUGGAGAGUACUGGCUGUGGGGUGGUAACAGAGCAGAGGCCAUUCGUGCUGUCUGAGGCUUCUGGUGUGAUGGAGACUGUGAUAUUAUGGGGAUUUGGUGCUGUUAAAAAUUCUGCUGUGGGAGAUUCUGGUGCUGUUGAAGAUGGCGGCAUCUUGGAAGGCACUGUUGCUACUGGAAGUCCUGGUGAGAAGGGAAGCAGCAAUCUUGAGGAAGAGGCAGGUGCUGUGGAUGUGUUGGUACCAAGAAGGAUGCUGGAGCUAUCAGUAGUGCUGUUGCUAAGGACAGUGCUGUUGCUAUGGCCCACACUGGCACCUAGGAAGGCUCUGGUACUACAGAGGGCAUUGGUGUCAUGAACAGUGUUGGUGUUAUGGGCAGUUGUGCCCAUGGAAGGCCACCUGUGGUGUGGAGGGUGUUGGAGCCUUGGAGGAACUAAUACUGUAGAUGUGCUAAGAACACAGAGAGUGCCCUGCUACGAGAGGUACCCAUGUGCCAGGCCUGCUUGUUCCAAGGUUGACCCAUUAGUGGAAACUGACUGUUGUAUUUGGGAGCUUAUUAUGGGGAUAAGAGACCCUCAGAGCAAUGUCUGGGCUUUAAGGACUCACCUGAGAAUCUCAGUGCUUGCCCUGGGGAAAGACCCUUAUCCUUCUGACAUUCUGGUUCCUUGUUGGUAAAAGAUGGGGCCCAGUC